rnacentral:misc_RNA from 1 species
AACGCACAUUGCGCCUGCCAGUAUUCUGGCAGGCAUGCCUGUCCGAGCGUCAUUUCCACCCUCAGAGCGCAUUUCGCGCACUGGUGUUGGGGCUCCUCAGUGAUGAGGCCCCCUAAAGCGAGUGGCGGACCCUUCUGGUGCUCCGAGCGCAGUACUGAACCUAGUUCUCUUCUCGCUCUGCGGCCCUAGGCGGUGCCCUGCCGUUAACUGGCACAUGACGUGCAGCAGCCCCGGCUGCUACAAUCUUUCUAAGGUUGACCUCGGAUCAGGUAGGACUACCCGCUGAACUUAA